rnacentral:rRNA from 1 species
UACGUAGGGGGCAAGCGUUGUCCGGAAUCAUUGGGCGUAAAGCGCGUGUAGGCGGCCUGACAGGUCUGCUGUGAAAACUCGAGGCUCAACCUCGAGAUGUCGGCGGAAACCAUCUGGCUAGAGUCCGGAAGAGGAGAAUGGAAUUCCCGGUGUAGCGGUGAAAUGCGCAGAUAUCGGGAAGAACACCGGUGGCGAAGGCGGUCUGCUGGGGUAAUGCUGACACUGAUGCGCGACAGCGUGGGGAGCAAACAGG